ensembl:miRNA
GCCUGUCCCGCUCCAGCAGCACAUAAAUAUUGGCAGCGUCCUGGGCAUGCCUGCCUGCCAGUAUUUCCUUGUGCUGCUCCAGCGGGGCCGGGC